UACGUAGGGAGCAAGCGUUGUCCGGAAUCAUUGGGCGUAAAGCGCGCGUAGGUGGCCUCAUAAGUCCGCUGUGAAAGUCCAAGGCUCAACCUUGGAAAGCCGGUGGAUACUGUGAGGCUAGAGUACGGAAGAGGCGAGUGGAAUUCCCAGUGUAGAGGUGAAAUUCGUAGAUAUUGGGAAGAACACCGGUGGCGAAGGCGGCGACCUGGUCCAUUACUGACGCUGAGGCGCGAAAGCGUGGGGAGCAAACAGG
rnacentral:rRNA from 1 species